rnacentral:lncRNA from 1 species
AACCGUUGAAGCUAAAGCCCUCUCAGAAGUCUCUCCUUCUGUACCAGCUGAUGCUUCCUCACACUUGUCUCCAUCACCUGUGCCAAUCGUAGAAGCUAAAGCCCUCUCAGAAGUCUCUCCUUCCGUACCAGCUGAUACUUCCUCGCACUUCUCUCCAGCACCUGUGCCAAUCGUAGAAGCAGAAGCCCUCUCAGUAGUCUCUCCUUCUGUACCAGCUGAUACUUCCUCACACUUCUCUCCAGCACCUGUGCCAAUCGUAGAAGCUAAAACCCUCUCAGAAGUCUCUCCCUCUGUACCAGAUGAUGCUUCCUCACACUUCUCUCCUGUGGUUG